UACGGGGGGGGCAAGCGUUGUUCGGAAUUACUGGGCGUAAAGGGCUCGUAGGUGGCCGACUAAGUCGGACGUGAAAUCCCUCGGCUUAACCGGGGAACUGCGUCCGAUACUGGUUGGCUUGAGUUUGGGAGAGGGAUGCGGAAUUCCAGGUGUAGCGGUGAAAUGCGUAGAUAUCUGGAGGAACACCGGUGGCGAAGGCGGCCCUCUGGCUCGACCCUGACGCUGAGGCGCGAAAGCGUGGGGAGCAAACAGG
rnacentral:rRNA from 1 species